rnacentral:antisense_RNA from 1 species
CUUGACCGAACCCAGCAGCAGCGGAGCAGUCCGCUCCUGCCCGUAGGUGGCCAGCAGCGCCUGGGCCUC